rnacentral:rRNA from 1 species
GAUGAACGCUGGCGGCGUGCCUAAUACAUGCAAGUCGAGCGAACGGACGAGAAGCUUGCUUCUCUGAUGUUAGCGGCGGACGGGUGAGUAACACGUGGAUAACCUACCUAUAAGACUGUGAUAACUUCGGGAAACCGGAGCUAAUACCGGAUAAUAUUUUGAACCGCAUUGUUCAAAAGUAAAAGACGGUCUUGCUGUCACUUAUAGAUGGAUCCGCUCUGCAUUAGCUAGUUGGUAAGGUAACGGCUUACCAAGGCAACGAUGCAUAGCCGACCUGAGAGGGUGAUCGGCCACACUGGAAAUGAGACACGGUCCAGACGCCUAAGGGAGGAAGCAGUAGGGAAUCUUCCGCAAAGGGCGAAAGCAUGACGGAGAAAAGCCGCGUGAGUGAUGAAGGUCUUCGGAUCGUAAAACUCUGUUAUUAGGGAAGAAAAAAUGUGUAAGUAAAUGUGCACAUAUUGACGGUAACUAAUCAGAAAGACACGGCUAACUACGUG